UACUUCUGUAGGCAGUGUUCUGAGCAAGUUAUCUGGAGGAAGAGGAAAACAGCUUCAGAGAGUGAUGAAGACGCCCUCCUCAGCAGAAUCCCAAGUGAAAUAGUCAGGCCUUCAUGAAAAACAUCUUGGAGCCAGGAGAUGUUAACACUUCAUCCUUGGACUGCUCUUGUGAAGUGGAAGUACACAAAGGAUUUUAUUUUGCAGUAAGUACUAAACCUGAGAAAGGUUGUGUUUGUGAUGUUUCCCUCCUCUCUUUCUGCAUCCUGGUUUGCAAACACUAACUUUUGACAGCCAGAUCUGCUCUACCUGUGUGGUAGCUCAGGUUAAGCUCUUUUUUUGACCUUGUUCCUAUUAGCUCUAGCAGCCUGGUUCACCUUCCCAGGACAGCACCUGAAGUGCUACCAGACAGCUUGCUGGAUAGGGGACAAACACCAGGGCCUGUUCCACAGCUGCUGUCAUGUUUUCAAGGGAGGGCAUUUUAUUUUUUCUUUCAAUAAUUGUAGAGAAAAAGCCACGGGAUCUAUUUCUGAGUUACAGUUCUACCAGUCAGAUAUUCAGUUCCAAACCUUUCAAUCACUGUAGAAGUCAUCACACUUAAAUACAAAAGAUGAGCACCUUGCAUGAGUACCAGAAAACCAGAAAUUGCUUUAAUGCUGCUCAGUAUAAAGGGAUGUGGAAAGCAGAGAUGAUGGAAGAAAAAAAGAUAACCUGCAACUGUACAUCCUCUCCAUUCUACUUUCUCUCUCCCUGACCUGGCAUCAGUUACAGUAAAACCUGUUCAGCAGGAGUUAAGUCUGACUAGGAAACAAAUGCUGUUGGAUUCUAGAAGCACCCCAAGCCACAUCUCCCAGAGGGUGUGGUGUCUGUGAUGCCCUGCCUGGGGAAGCCUAGACUUGUAGUGAAGAGUGCAGUAUGGAAUGAGGGCAGCAGCUGCUUUUACAAAUGCAGAAUCUCCAAGAUCCACAAAGGCAUUUAUCUUCAUUCUUAAGGAAGUACGACUUUAAAUAGGAAAUUAGGAUCAGAGCAGACCAGUCAUCCACUCAGACCAGUAUUCCAUAUCCACGAGGGCCACAGCCAGAUGCUUUGCAAGAAAAGCAUCCUGCGUAGCUCGAGCAGCUAAAAUGAGCUGGUGAAAGACAAUGGCAAAACCUUAUCCAGAGUAAUUCUGACACCUGCAAUCGAGAAUGUUCCCAACAAAGCAAAUGCAGAGAAUUAUCAUGGGAACAAAGGAUCUGUCUUGGGAAGCCAGGAGAGCUUGGUUUAGUGCAGCAAAACAAAAGCUGAACGGAGAGAUGAUUUCUGCCUGCACUGAGGGACAGCUGUAAAACUCUAAGGAGGCAGCAAAUGCUAAAACACAACGCAGGUUUAAAUCUUUGUGUGUGGUUUAGGUGGUUUUUGGGUGUUUUUUUUUCCUGGUAGCAGGAAAGCUGGAGUUAAGCAAAGCUAUUAGACUUUUAACCAAUUAUAUUAAUUACACCAGUCUGAAGCCUCCCAGCAAGCGACGAAAGGCCAAGGACAACAUGCAACUCAUGUGAGCCAGAGCCUUUUCUUUUGGCAGAUGGGUACGUGAUGGAGCUCCCUGCACUGCAGGCAACUGGACUGAGCAGCCAGAGCUGUGGGGGCAAUAGAUUUCCACCAGCACACCUCCCUGCUCACUGCAUGCCAGAACACUUCCACUCCUCCAAAGACAGCUGAUGAGCUUUUCAGCUAACUGAAAGAUCCAAACUGUCCAAAUCGCUGCUGAAAUUUGAGUAUUAAACAGAAAUUCUGCCUAAAGGUAAUUAAAAGCAUAGGAAACAUUUACAUACCUCUUCUGGCUUAACUUCUCUGGUGGUGAAAUCCCUUAUACAAUCCAUGAAGCAAUUUUCUGUGAUUUUAUUAUAUGUUCCCAGGAACUCCUUGAACUGCAUUAAAAAUUGAAAACACCAUUAAAAAAUA